UACACAAAUUGCCUCCGGCCAAGAAGAUGUGAAUCAUUUCUGUUGGGAUCCGGUGAAUCAUUGCAAAAUUUGAAAACCCAAAAUGUCCAAUUGGAAAGAAACGAGUUGCAUAAAAUAUGAUCAGUAGGGGUGCCAAGAAAGGCAGAACUGUUGCUUUUUGUACAAUCAUUUCCUAAUGCUGAAUUGUUUUCCCAACUGAAUUAGUGCACUCUAAUUAAAUGCUACAUUUUCUAAAUGAUGCGGUAGAUUAUGCCUGUGCAUUAAAACAAGACUUCUAAAGGCUUUAAUACACAUAUUUACUACGGAAGUUGCUAUAAUCAUAUGGAGGUUCAGAAUGUUUCAUUAAUUUAUUUAUUUUGUAUGUCAUGUGGCAUGCAAAUAAUACAUUUGGUAAAUUGGAUAGACUUUCACUACUACUAAUGCUAAUAUACCCUCUUUGAUUUCAGAGCCUCAGACAAUAAAUGUCAUGGAGAACAGUGGAGCCAUAUUGAUAAUAGAAAUGAAGAAAUGCAGCUCAGAUGGUACCUGCCCCCUCAAGCCAUCUGAGCAGUGUAGACAUCUGUGAGCUGCAACCUGCCAAGAACAAGCCUAAUGUAAAAAUAUCAAAAAAUAUUCUGAAAUGGAAAGACGGCUGGAGGGUCAUUUGGACAAACUGCAGUGAAAAGCCUUCAUGUCAAGAAUGAGCUGUGUUUUUUUCCUCUGUCCCUGUCUAAAGGAAAAUGUACACUGCCAGGUCUCGAAUUUAUGGGUUUUUCUAUGACUGCUCUGCGAAGCAGCUCUGAAAAGCUGUCAAGGCAAGAAACCUGUGGAAAGAGCACUUGUUAGCAGACGCCAAUAUCCAGCUGCCAUUUGAAAACGAGUUGCAUUUGUGAGGAACGUUUUUGUUGACAUCACAAAGUGUCCAUCAAAAUUGGAAGAUGUCAAAACACUGUACUGCAUAAUUCAUCACAACAGCUACAAGCCUUAAUUUAAUUUAUUUCGAUCCAGAAUGAAAUGAUUUUUUUUAUUUUUGUUUAGAAAAAUAUUUAUAGUUCUGUGGAUGUAUGGACCAUAAAGAAGUGCUCACUUCUUUAAGGUUUUCUUUGAAUAUCAUCUUGUGAUGUUUUAAAGAGAUGUUGAUUAAUUUUUAAUGCAUUACUGAUAUUCAAUGGAGAAACAAACCAUUUUCAGAGGAAUAUUUAACUCUAAGAAAGAUAUCGCUUGUUCUCAUUUGUUCAGGGUUACCUUUAAAAAUUCUAAGAAUAAUGCCAUAAUGUUUUGUCAGUUGAAGUUGGACCCAAACGCAGAGAUACUGAGGUGGCAAAUGAAUUAGAAAGUUUAAUGAAAACAAACUUAAAAAGAUAACAUGUAACCAGGUCAGGAAUGGAUAAAAAAUCCAAGUAAAGAAACCAGCAUGGAGACACAAGGAGAACUAGGGAAAGUGACACGGGUAAACGAGAGGAUCUGACAAGGAGUGGCUGAAAAUGAGAAGCUUAAAUACUGGGAGGUUGAAUGCUGAGACAAAGGACCUAGGGUGAUGAGUUAAAGGGUUGCAGGUGAGAGUGAAGGGAACAGGAAGCAGACUGAGGAGAGGGAGAGAAAGAGAAUGGCACAGGGGCGAGAGAGAGAUUACACAGGGAACUAGGAAAUAAGUCCAACUCAAAAGAAUAUAACUAUACUAAAGAAACAUAUUAAAACUAGAGAAGCUAAAAAUAACUAGAAACAGAAAUAAACAUAAUUAGAGACAUUAAGAAGAACUGAACUAAAGCUAAACAGAAACAAGAUUGAGUUAAAUAAAAGAGGAA